GCGUCGGUGGUAUAACGGUUAGCAUAGCUGCCUUCCAAGUAGUUGACUCGGGUUCGACUCCCCCGGCGACGCA
rnacentral:tRNA from 1 species